UAAUCCUCGAGGGACCACCUAUGGCGAAGGCAUCUUAUCAGGACGGCUUCGACAGUGAGGAACGAAAGCUGGGGGAGCGAACCGGAUUAGAUACCCGGGUAGUCCCAGCCGUAAACGAUGCGCGUUAGGUGUACUGGUGACCACGAGUCACCGGGGUGCCGAAGGGAAACCGUGAAACGUGCCGCCUGGGCAGUACGGUCGCAAGGCUGAAACUUAAAGGAAUUG
rnacentral:rRNA from 1 species